rnacentral:lncRNA from 1 species
CAUUAAUUCAAUGGAUUUAGUCCAGCUGAUACUGGCAAUUGAGACUUCAUUCUUACUCUGGUGUAUCACAUCACAACUGUGAAGGCAUGAGCAUUUUGUAAGAUGAGAACAGCCAAGUUUAACUCAUUUAACUAAUCAAAUUACUUAUUGUUUAUUUAUUGCUGGGAAUACAUGGCUGACCAAAAAUGUUUUGCUUGUUCUGCUCACACAUGUAGAGCUGCAGAACUUUAGGAGAAUGGCAUUACACCACUAAACCAGAAGUGCGGCUACAGGACCUUGAAUUGUAGAGACAUUGCAGUUGCAAUUGCGAGUGUCACCAUUUUGGUAAGUAGCCACUCUCCCUGAUCUCACAAAUGUCAUGGGGUAGCUUCAUGGGAUAAAGUUAUUUUACUUUACAAUAUCAUCCAUGAGGCACUUAUAUAUCUGCCAGGACAACCAGACACAAAAGACAACAGAAGUCCUGUAAGGCGGUGAUACUCUGAGAAAAUCUGACUUCCUUAAGGCCACCCAGUGGGUUUUCAUGGCCAACCAGGAAUUUAAACCCUGGUAUUUAGAGUUGUAGUGCAAUGGUCAAACCACUGCUCCACAGGAAGCUGGGAAUCUCUGAAUAAGAGUUGAAUAAAAAGAGCAGAAAAAACAGAGCACGUAGAAAAACAGUCUGAGUUCAUUUUCCCUUGGGGAGAAAAGAACUACAGGUCAUCUAUAGUUGGCUAAAACUGUGUUGCAACCUUGGAAGAGGACAAAGCUAUAAAUAUGACUGUUUGAGGAUUAGGGGCAAUCACUUGCUGGGGUGCCUGUGAACAUAUUGUACGUUCUUUCAUAAAAUAGGUUUUGGAAGACUCUAGGAUCUUUGCAUCCAAAGGGAAGUAAAUCCUAUGAUGCUAUCUCAGAUAUAGCUUGGGGAUUUGUGAAAUGGAGAAAGGCAGCAAAGCACAGCAUGGUUCUUUCAUAAAAUACCUUUUAUUGUAUAAUUUUUGAUGUUUCACUGAUAGCAUCUUCUUUGAUCUAUAAAGAAGGUAUUGCUGAUCACUAGGUCUUUUAUCAUAAUUUUUUUGUGUCAGGAGUGACUUGAGAAAUUGCAAGUCCCUUCUGGUGUGAGAGAAUUGGCUGUCUGCAAGGACAUUUCCCAGCAGAUGCCUGAAUGUUUGGUGUUUUACCAUCCUUGUGGGAGGCUUCUCUCCAUGUCCCC